rnacentral:rRNA from 1 species
UACGUAGGGGGCUAGCGUUGUCCGGAAUCAUUGGGCGUAAAGAGCGUGUAGGCGGCCCGGUAAGUCCGCUGUAAAAGUCAAAGGCUCAACCUUUGAAUGUCAGUGGAUACUGCCGGGCUAGAGUCCGGAAGAGGCGAGUGGAACUCCUGGUGUAGCGGUGGAAUGCGCAGAUAUCAGGAAGAACACCAACGGCGAAGGCAGCUCGCUGGGACGGUAUUGAUGCUAAGGCGCGAAAGCGUGGGGAGCAAACAGG